rnacentral:rRNA from 1 species
GACAGAGGGUGCAAACGUUGUUCGGAAUUACUGGGCGUAAAGCGCGUGUAGGCUGCUUGGAAAGUCGGAUGUGAAAGCCCUGGGCUUAACCCAGGAAGUGCACUCGAAACUUCCAAGCUCGAGUCCUGGAGAGGGUGGCGGAAUUCUCGGUGUAGUGGUGAAAUGCGUAGAUAUCGGGAGGAACACCAGUGGCGAAGGCGACUUCCUGGCCUGUUCUUGACCGCUGAGGCGCGAAAGCUAGGGUAGCAAACGGG